GUUUCAACUUAUAGAAUCGUAUAAUAUUGAAUGGACUAUGAAUAACUAGAAUAAGAUAUAGGUACUUACGACGUUUAAAAGUUUAUUGAACAAAUCAAGUAGAUCAGAUAUUAUUUCCACAUACAUUUUAAUACUUAGCAAAGCACAACAUAUGGGGGAAAUAAAUAAAUUAUGAUUAUAAUAUACACUCCAUGGGCAAACAAUAUAAAAUCAUUAAAUAAGUAGAUUGAUACACAUAUU